rnacentral:misc_RNA from 1 species
GGAAGGAUCAUUCACAAUAAGUGUUUAUGGCACUUUCAAAAUCCAUACCCACCUUGUGUGCAAUGUAAGAGCCCUUUCAACUCCCUUUCCCUCUCUCUCCGGAGGAGGGAAGAACGAGAACUGGGCUUCAUUUUCUUCUCACUCGUCUUCAAUUGCAAGUCUAACAUUCAGAGUAAUCAAAAAAACUCGAAUACAACUUUCAACAACGGAUCUCUUGGCUCUCGCAUCGAUGAAGAACGCAGCGAAAUGCGAUACGUAAUGUGAAUUGCAGAAUUCAGUGAAUCAUCGAAUCUUUGAACGCACAUUGCGCCUUCUGGUAUUCCGGAAGGCAUGCUUGUUUGAGUAUCAGUAACAACCUCAGCCAAGUUUUUCUCGCUUCUGGCGCAGAAAGCAAAAGCUGGAUUUGAGCAAAGUCCCUUGGGAUCAAUUGAACGACCUUCGGGGAGCAAUUGAGCCGGUGGGGGAUGCUUGAAAUACAGGUUCGGGCUGACCAAAUGUCCUGGGCUACAAGCAUUUCAUACUUGAUCCCGUUAAACGGAUCAUUUCCAUUGCUGCAGCCAACACAAACAGGAUCAAACGUGUCCAGUGUCCGACUGAUGCAGGAAGUUGGAACAACAGAGCGAUCUGUGGUUCCUUUCUAACUCGAUCUCAAAUCAAGCAAGACUACCCGCUGAACUUAAGCAUAUCAAUAAGCGGAGGAAAAGAAACUAACAAGGAUUCCCCUAGUAACGGCGAGUGAAGCGGGAUGAGCUCAAAUUUGAAAUCUGGCUGGCUUCGUCAGUCCGAGUUGUAGUUUAAAGAGGCGUUUUCGGUGGCAGCCUGGGUACAAAUCCUUUGGAACAGGGUAUCAUAGAGGGUGAGAAUCCCGUCUCUGACUCGGUGGCCUGCUACUAUGUGAUACGUCUUCAAAGAGUCGAGUUGUUUGGGAAUGCAGCUCAAAAUGGGUGGUAAAUCUCAUCUAAGGCUAAAUACCGGCGAGAGACCGAUAGCGAACAAGUACCGUGAGGGAAAGAUGAAAAGAACUUUGAAAAGAGAGUUAAACAGUGCGUGAAAUUGUUGAAAGGGAAACGUUUGACACCAGCUUUGCGGGUGGGAAAUCAGUCGCGUUGCAGUGGGGAGUGGCAAGGGUUCAGACCGCAAGGCUGGCCUUUGUCUCAUCUCGGUUGCGGGCGAUGCACUUUUUCAUCUGCAGGUCAACAUCAGUUUCCUCCGCUGGACAAAACCUCGAGAGAAUGUAGCAGCUCUGGCUGUGUUAUAGCUCUGAGGCGAUACAGUGGUGGGGACUGAGGUUUCGCAGUGUGUGCUCUCGGGCAAGGCUGACUGGGUGCUACGGAAUGGUUCAGUGUACAAUGCUUGCAUUUUGCGCUGAGUCUGUUCUGUACUCGCUCAACUCGGUUCUUCCACGCUUAGGAUGUUGACAUAAUGGUUUUAAACGACCCGUCUUGAAACACGGACCAAGGAGUCUAACAUGUGUGCGAGUGUUUGGGUGGCAAACCCAUGCGCGUAAUGAAAGUGAACGAAGGUGCGAUCCGCAAGGUGCAGCAUCGACCGAUCUUGAUAUUUUUGGAUAGAUUUGAGUAAGAGCACACAUGCUGGGACCCGAAAGAUGGUGAACUAUGCCUGAAUAGGGUGAAGCCAGAGGAAACUCUGGUGGAGGCUCGUAGCGAUUCUGACGUGCAAAUCGAUCGUCAAAUUUGGGUAUAGGGGCGAAAGACUAAUCGAACCAUCUAGUAGCUGGUUCCUGC